rfam:Sclerotinia sclerotiorum 1980 scaffold_2 genomic scaffold, whole genome shotgun sequence.
GGGGCUGUAACUCAGUGGUAGAGUGCCUCGUUUGCAACUUCAAUGUCUUGAAAGAGAUAACUGAUAAUGCUCGAUGAAGUCCAGGGUUCGACUCCCUGCCGCUCCA